GGAAUCUUCCACAAUGGGCGCAAGCCUGAUGGAGCAACACCGCGUGAGUGAAGAAGGGUUUCGGCUCGUAAAGCUCUGUUGUUAGAGAAGAACGUGCGUGAGAGUAACUGUUCACGCAGUGACGGUAUCUAACCAGAAAGUCACGGCUAACUACGUGCCAGCAGCCGCGGUAAUACGUAGGUGGCAAGCGUUGUCCGGAUUUAUUGGGCGUAAAGCGAGCGCAGGCGGUUUUUUAAGUCUGAUGUGAAAGCCUUCGGCUUAACCGAAGAAGUGCAUUAGAAACUGGAAAACUUGAGUGCAGAAGAGGACAGUGGAACUCCAUGUGUAGCGGUGAAAUGCGUAGAUAUAUGGAAGAACACCAGUGGCGAAGGCGGCUGUCUGGUCUGCAACUGACGCUGAGGCUCGAAAGCAUGGGUAGCGAACA
rnacentral:rRNA from 1 species